AAAUUGAUUAUCAAGCGUCUCUUGCUCUCUCCCAAGUCCCAAACCUUGAAACCCUGCAAAUUUUUUCUUUAAAUUGGUUUCAAUGGUUACUCAAUUCUUCAGUUCAUUCUCAUCCAUCACCCAAUCUUUCUCCUCUCUAUGUUUCUGUUAUCCUACGGUGAUCAUACGAAUUUUUCAGCUUUCGAUCGAUGUAGGCUGAGGUACAAAUCAAAAUAGGACCUGCCCUGCUGAUGAGCACUCGUUCUGCAACAGCCAAAGCAUCGGAUCCAGUAUGCUUAGACGAUUGAAGUGACGCUCAUCUAAUGACUAAUGGUCAAGAAAUUCUGUCCGAACGACUUGAAUCCAAUUUACAAGUUUUCAUUUUAUUUUCUCCAUGGACUUCUUGAUGAUGAAUUAUUCUGGCAAUUGGCAAUUGAGUAA
rnacentral:lncRNA from 1 species